UACGAAGGGGACUAGCGUUGUUCGGAAUCACUGGGCGUAAAGCGCACGUAGGCGGAUUCGUAAGUCAGGGGUGAAAUCCCGGGGCUCAACCUCGGAACUGCCUUUGAUACAGCAUGUCUUGAGUCCGAUAGAGGUGGGUGGAAUUCCUAGUGUAGAGGUGAAAUUCGUAGAUAUUAGGAAGAACACCGGUGGCGAAGGCGGCCCACUGGAUCGGUACUGACGCUGAGGUGCGAAAGCGUGGGGAGCAAACAGG
rnacentral:rRNA from 1 species